rnacentral:ncRNA from 1 species
AUCAUUCUGCCACCGGGUAGAGAAAGCGAAAGCAUUCAUUUACACAUCGUUAGGUCUUAGAAGAUGUGUAAAGGGAUGCUUAUUUUUU